ACUCAAAGGAAUAGACGGGGGCCCGCACAAGCGGAGGAACAUGUGGUUUAAUUCGAUGAUACGCGAGGAACCUUACCUGGGCUUAAAUGUAGAGUGCAUUGGUGGGAAACCAUCAUUUUCUUCGGAACUCUUUACAAGGUGCUGCAUGGUUGUCGUCAGCUCGUGCCGUGAGGUGUCGGGUUAAGUCCCAUAACGAGCGCAACCCUUAUCGUUAGUUGCCAGCGGGUCAAGCCGGGAACUCUAACGAAACUGCCGGUGUAAACCGAGAGGAAGGUGGGGAUGACGUCAAAUCAGCACGGCCCUUAUGUCCAGGGCUACACACGUGUUACAAUGGCCGGUACAGAGGGCAGCUACCUGUUGACAGGAUGCGAAUCUCGAAAGCCGGUCUCAGUUCGGAUCGGAGUCUGCAACCCGACUCCGUGAAGCUGGAUUCGCUAGUAAUCGCGCAUCAGCCAUGGCGCGGUGAAUACGUUCCCGGGCCUUGUACACACCGCCCGU
rnacentral:rRNA from 1 species